rnacentral:rRNA from 1 species
GACGAACGCUGGCGGCGUGCUUAACACAUGCAAGUCGAGCGGAGCGGCGAACGGGUGAGGAACGAGUGAGUAACUGCCCCCCUCUCUGGGAUAACAGUUGGAAACGGCGGCUAAUACCGGUCAGUGGGGGCUGACUCGCGUCCUACCAGCUUGUUGGUGGGGGAGUGGCCUACCAAUGCGACGACGUGUAGCCGGCCUGAGAGGGCGACCGGCCACAUUGGGCUGAGAUAGGGACCGAACUGCUUCGGUAGGCAGCAGUGGGGGAUUUUGCGCGAUGUGUCAAACCCUGAUGCAGCAAUCCGCGUGCGGGAUGACGGCCUUCGGGUUGUAAACCGCUUUCAGCCAUGACGCGGUAGUGGCAUAAAAAGCCCCGGCUCACUACGUGCCAGCAGCCGCGGUAAUAC